AGUGGGGAAUUUUGGACAAUGGGCGCAAGCCUGAUCCAGCAAUGCCGCGUGAGUGAAGAAGGCCUUCGGGUUGUAAAGCUCUUUUGUCAGGGAAGAAACGGGAGUGGCUAAUAUCCAUUCCUAAUGACGGUACCUGAAGAAUAAGCACCGGCUAACUACGUGCCAGCAGCCGCGGUAAUACGUAGGGUGCAAGCGUUAAUCGGAAUUACUGGGCGUAAAGCGUGCGCAGGCGGUUUUGUAAGUCUGUCGUGAAAUCCCCGGGCUCAACCUGGGAAUUGCGAUGGAGACUGCAAGGCUAGAAUCUGGCAGAGGGGGGUAGAAUUCCACGUGUAGCAGUGAAAUGCGUAGAGAUGUGGAGGAACACCGAUGGCGAAGGCAGCCCCCUGGGUCAAGAUUGACGCUCAUGCACGAAAGCGUGGGGAGCAAA
rnacentral:rRNA from 1 species